AGUGAACGCUGGCGGUAGGCCUAACACAUGCAAGUCGAACGGCAGCACAGUAAGAGCUUGCUCUUACGGGUGGCGAGUGGCGGACGGGUGAGGAAUACAUCGGAAUCUACUUUUUCGUGGGGGAUAACGUAGGGAAACUUACGCUAAUACCGCAUACGACCUACGGGUGAAAGCAGGGGAUCUUCGGACCUUGCGCGAUUGAAUGAGCCGAUGUCGGAUCAGCUAGUUGGCGGGGUAAAGGCCCACCAAGGCGACGAUCCGUAGCUGGUCUGAGGGGAUGAUCAGCCACACUGGAACUGAGACACGGUCCAGACUCCUACGGGAGGCAGCAGUGGGGAAUAUUGGACAAUGGGCGCAAGCCUGAUCCAGCCAUACCGCGUGGGUGAAGAAGGCCUUCGGGUUGUAAAGCCCUUUUGUUGGGAAAGAAAAGCAGCAGGUUAAUACCCCGCUGUUCUGACGGUACCCAAAGAAUAAGCACCGGCUAACUUCGU
rnacentral:rRNA from 1 species